GNUUUAUUGGGCGUAAGCGAGCGCAGGCGGUUUUUUAAGUCUGAUGUGAAAGCCUUCGGCUCAACCGAAGAAGUGCAUCGGAAACUGGGAAACUUGAGUGCAGAAGAGGACAGUGGAACUCCAUGUGUAGCGGUGAAAUGCGUAGAUAUAUGGAAGAACACCAGUGGCGAAGGCGGCUGUCUGGUCUGUAACUGACGCUGAGGCUCGAAAGUAUGGGUAGCAAACAGGAUUAGAUACCCUGGUAGUCCAUACCGUAAACGAUGAAUGCUAAGUGUUGGAGGGUUUCCGCCCUUCAGUGCUGCAGCUAACGCAUUAAGCAUUCCGCCUGGGGAGUACGGCCGCAAGGCUGAAACUCAAAGGAAUUGACGGGGGCCCGCACAAGCGGUGGAGCAUGUGGUUUAAUUCGAAGCUACGCGAAGAACCUUACCAGGUCUUGACAUACUAUGCAAAUCUAAGAGAUUAGACGUUCCCUUCGGGGACAUGGAUACAGGUGGUGCAUGGUUGUCGUCAGCUCGUGUCGUGAGAUGUUGGGUUAAGUCCCGCAACGAGCGCAACCCUUAUUAUCAGUUGCCAGCAUUAAGUUGGGCACUCUGGUGAGACUGCCGGUGACAAACCGGAGGAAGGUGGGGAUGACGUCAAAUCAUCAUGCCCCUUAUGACCUGGGCUACACACGUGCUACAAUGGAUGGUACAACGAGUUGCGAACUCGCGAGAGUAAGCUAAUCUCUUAAAGCCAUUCUCAGUUCGGAUUGUAGGCUGCAACUCGCCUACAUGAAGUCGGAAUCGCUAGUAAUCGCGGAUCAGCAUGCCGCGGUGAAUACGUUCCCGGGCCUUGUACACACCGCCCGUCACACCAUGAGAGUUUGUAACACCCAAAGUCGGUGGGGUAACCUUUUAGGAACCAGCCGCCUNANNUGGGACAGAUGANUAGGGUGAA
rnacentral:rRNA from 2 species